UGCCUCACGAGAGGGGUGGGGAGGCUGACAACCACUUGGAAAGCGACAAGUGCACGCAAAAGUGACUGCACAUCACGCAGAGACUCAUCGGCGAGAAGAGGAUCGCCAUCAAUCUGCCACACCUUGACAGGACGGUGGGCAGCGGUCACUGCUCCUCACUACAUGAGCACACACGACACAAACUCAGACAUGUCGACCGCCUCGCAGCACAGGAAAAGCGAUUCGGCGGAGCGUGACGAGGUCAAUGUCAAGAACGCUCCUAAAGUCGCGUCAGAGGCGGAAAUAAACCGCCGCAACGUUGUCUUUGCAGAGGCGCUGCGGUGCGCCUGCAUUGCGAAGCGGGUCGGCGACGACCCGGGGUACAUCUGGACACCGCAGCGGCUCGGCGCUGGCUCGUUCGGCACAGUGACGCUUGCAUACCGUCACGAGGGCGACGCUGUGUGGCGCAAGACCGCGGUGAAGCGCAUAUCGCUGCGCAAAGAAAUGCGCCUCUCAGCCGUGCUGGAGAAGGUGCGGUGCGCUGGGCGCGAGGUGGCCCUGUGCCGUCGCGCUGGGGUGUCGCCGCACGUUGUGCCGAUGUACGAGCCAUGGUUCGACUGCCGGGAGGGCGUGAUCGCGCUGCCGAUGGACGCCGGUGACUUCAGCCUGGAGCAGUACGCGGUGCACUGCGGCUUUCGGUUCCCGCCGCUGGUGCUGCUGUCGAUGUGCGCGCAGUGCGCGCGUGCUGUGGCGCAUCUGCAUCGGCGCGGCGUUGUGCACCGUGACGUGAAGCCAGACAACUUCGUGGUGAAUGUUUUCGACACUGCUGGUGGUGCUGGUGCUGGCGGUGAUGGUGGCCGCCGUGACGCGCGGGCACCGCUCGUGCGCAUACUUGACUUUGGGCUCGCGUGCGGCGUGGAGGAGGUCGGGCAGGAGUUGAAGCGUUGCGUGGGGACACCGCACUACAUGGCACCGGAGACGUUUUCGCACCUCUGCGACUGCGACGUGCCUGCGGCGUGCGACGUGUGGAGCCUCGGGGUGACCUUGUUCCGAUUGGCCACUGGCGUCUUCCCGGUCUUCGAGAUGGACAAGACGUGGCAGCAACCGCCCUUCACCGCGUUACACAGCGGAAAGCUGUGGCUCCCCUCGAGGAAUCUCUUCCAUGAGCCAUUGUCGGCGGAAUCGCUAGCGGUGUUGUCAGUCGCUGCGUCGAUGCUUGUGCUGGACCCCCGAUACCGGCCCACCGCGGAUGCUGCGGUGCUACAGCUGCAGGGCUUUCAGGAGGCGUUCAGCCACCAGAUCCAGUCAUGGCCGCCAGGGUCUGGGCCACAACCCUGCCGUGUCUGGAAACGCACACGUAAGUGAGGAAGAGGGCCAGCGGGCAACAAAUGUGCGCGUGCGUGCGUGUGGUUUCUCUCUCCCUGUGGCAUCACCGCCGGCGCCGCUGCUGCCCCUCCGCUUGUUUUUUUUUCUUUAUUCUUCGUGUCUUCUUCUCGUUCCUUUUCACAUCGUUCUUCUUUUCGCUUUUGUUUCCGACACCGUCUAUCCACGGUGGUUCGCGUCUUCUCAUACAUGCGUGCAUACAUCUAUACAUCUAUAUAUACAUAUAUAUUUAUAUACAG
rnacentral:misc_RNA from 1 species